rnacentral:pre_miRNA from 1 species
CAAUUAUGCGUUGGCUCAACAAGCGUGCGCUUCGCACUACCCUAACUCGUUUCCGAGCUUAACGCAUAAUUGC